UAUAUUAAAAAGAAAGAAAAAAAUUCUUUUCAAGACCGUGAAAUUAUAGAGCAACUCUGGUAAAGCAGAAGCAGGGGUAACAUUAUAAAGUGACAGCACCUCUGAGCAGCUUCCCAUCCCCAGGCUCUCUUGUGCUCAGUCAGCUCAGCGCCUCAACAGAUGCCAACCCUGAGGGAAGCAGCAGUGUGGGAAACAAAAUGGUGAAUGCCCAGGACCAGCACUUUGCUAGAGUGGGCAGUGGUGAUAUUUUGAUUACUGUCCCAUGGAAGGCACACUGAAAAGAAAAUGGGUCCUCAUGGAAUAUGUUGGAGCUCUUGUUGUGGUUAGAAUGGAAGCUUCAGACAAAGUUCCUUAGAAAAAACCUGCUGUUGUGUCAUGAGGAACUCUGCCACAUCCUCGCCAGUGUCUGCCAGGAACCAUCCUUCUUCACAUCCUCAGGAUGUUUAAGAUUGGGAUUGAUGGAUCAGGCUGGUCUCAGCAUUCUUCACCACCAAGCUGUGUGACCCACACCCCUUCUCCAUCUGUUGCUGAUAACUUUUGGAGAUAAUGUCAAGUCUGAACUGUUUUGCUCCUGCUUUAGGCAGUGCACCCUGAAGAGUGCCUUUAUGUACAUAGUGCAUGUGAUGCUGAAUCUAACACUGUACAAAAUGUUCUUUACCCAGAAGAGCUCCCCUGCCCUAACUGCCCCCAGCUCCUGACUGACACACUUCUGAUACACCCUGUCCCACAGAGUCAGCUGCUUGAUUAAUCUGUGGAUGAAGUUGGUUGUGUGUUAAGUCCUUAAGGAAGGAGCUGUGUUUGUUCAACUCUUAUAUGCUGACCUUUGUAGUCAACUUCAUCAACAAGUCACUUGUAACUCUGAGUACACAAAAUGCAGAUCUUAUUUGAGCUCAGAAUCUGCAAGCUACUUGUAAAGUUUAUUGGGACUGAAUCUUAAGCUACCUAAAGCCAAACUCAGCUUUAUGCUCUUUGACCUCUUUGUUAUUUAUAGAAAUGCUAGAGUCUGGCCAGAUCGUGUCCACAGAACCAAGUAGCUUCUGUGUUCCUGAGCUGAAGUGUCUGAUGGAAAUGAGGAGGAGCCAGCUCCAUCCUACCUGUGUUGUGCACCCAUUAGAGCUCCUGUAGCCCUCCUUUCCACACAGCUCCUCGUGCACAGGACUUAGAGUUGUUGCACCUCUCCCUGAAUGCUGUGGGAACUUCCACAAGCCUCCUGUACAGGAGCCUUUUUUUCCUGUCUGAAUAAAAUAUGGAUGGGGCAUCACUUGUGAAGA